AGCAGUAUGGCAUAGUGGACAGAGCACCAGCCUGGGAGUCUGAGGGUUAUGGGUUCUAAUCCCGACUCUGCUA
rnacentral:tRNA from 1 species